GAGUUUGAUCAUGGCUCAGGAUGAACGCUGGCGGCGUGCCUAACACAUGCAAGUCGAGCGAUUCUCUUCGGAGAAGAGCGGCGGACGGGUGAGUAACGCGUGGGUAACCUGCCCUGUGCACACGGAUAACAUACCGAAAGGUAUGCUAAUACGAGAUAAUAUGCUUUUAUCGCAUGGUAGAAGUAUCAAAGCUUUUGCGGUACAGGAUGGACCCGCGUCUGAUUAGCUAGUUGGUAAGGUAACGGCUUACCAAGGCGACGAUCAGUAGCCGACCUGAGAGGGUGAUCGGCCACAUUGGAACUGAGACACGGUCCAAACUCCUACGGGAGGCAGCAGUGGGAAUAUUGCACAAUGGGCGAAAGCCUGAUGCAGCAACGCCGCGUGAGCGAUGAAGG
rnacentral:rRNA from 1 species